rnacentral:rRNA from 1 species
UACGAAGGGGGCUAGCGUUGCUCGGAAUCACUGGGCGUAAAGGGUGCGUAGGCGGGUCUUUAAGUCAGGGGUGAAAUCCUGGAGCUCAACUCCAGAACUGCCUUUGAUACUGAAGAUCUUGAGUUCGGGAGAGGUGAGUGGAACUGCGAGUGUAGAGGUGAAAUUCGUAGAUAUUCGCAAGAACACCAGUGGCGAAGGCGGCUCACUGGCCCGAUACUGACGCUGAUGGGACGAAAGCUAAGGGUAGCAAACAGGGA